GACGAACGCUGGCGGCGUGCCUAAUACAUGCAAGUCGAACGCACAGUUUAUACCGUAGCUUGCUCCACCAUGGACUGUGAGUUGCGAACGGGUGAGUAACGCGUAGGUAACCUGCCUGGUAGCGGGGUAUAACUAUUGGAAACGAUAGCUAAUACCGCAUAAUAUUAAUUAUUCCAUGAUAAUUAAUUGAAAGGUGCAAUUGCACCACUACCAGAUGGACCUGAGUUGUAUUAGCUAGUAGGGGAGGUAACGGCUCACCUAGGCGUAGAUACAUAGCCGACCUUGAAGGGUGAUCAGCCACGCUGGGACUGAGACACGGCCCAGAAUCCUACGGGAGGGAGCAGGAGGGGAGUUUCGGCAAAGGACGGAAGGCUGACCGAGGAACGCCGGGGGAGGGAAGGAGGUUGUCGGAUCGGAAAAGUCUGUUUUAAGGGAAGAACGGGUAUGAGAGUGAAACGUUCACAUUGUGACGGUACCUUAACAGAAAGCAACGGCUAACUACGUG
rnacentral:rRNA from 1 species